rnacentral:rRNA from 1 species
AUGAACGCUGGCGGCGUGCCUAAUACAUGCAAGUCGAGCGAACAGACGAGGAGCUUGCUCCUCUGACGUUAGCGGCGGACGGGUGAGUAACACGUGGAUAACCUACCUAUAAGACUGGGAUAACUUCGGGAAACCGGAGCUAAUACCGGAUAAUAUAUUGAACCGCAUGGUUCAAUAGUGAAAGACGGAUUUGCUGUCACUUAUAGAUGGAUCCGCGCCGCAUUAGCUAGUUGGUAAGGUAACGGCUUACCAAGGCAACGAUGCGUAGCCGACCUGAGAGGGUGAUCGGCCACACUGGAAUUGAGACACGGUCCAGACUCCUACGGGAGGCAGCAGUAGGGAAUCUUCCGCAAUGGGCGAAAGCCUGACGGAGCAACGCGGCGUGAGUGAUGAAGGUCUUCGGAUCGUAAAACUCUGUUAUUAGGGAAGAACAAAUGUGUAAGUAACUAUGCACGUCUUGACGGUACCUAAUCAGAAAGCCACGGCUAACUACGUG